CAAUUCUUAUUUUAUGUAACCUCUUGUUUUAAUGUCAAGGUAGGCAUGGCGAUUACCAAAACAAGUGGAGGUGAUGAUAUCGUCAAUGAGAAAAGAACAGAAGACAAUUUAGAAACCUGGAAGGAGUGCUUGAAAAACUACCUUAUUGGGCAAGGCUUAUGGGGAGUAGUCUCUGGAGAUGAACCUAAGCCCGAAGAAAUAGAUCGCAACUACAAGGAUUGGAUGAAGAAGAAUGCUUUGGCUUUGCAUGCCAUUCAAAUUUCUUGUGAGGAAGAUACCAUUUCAUAUUUGAUGAGGCGGUUCCCCAAUAUUGACUCUGCUAAAUGUAUGUGGGACAACUUGGCUGACAUGCAAUCAGAAGUAACCAGUUAUAAGGAGGAAGCAACAUCAAGCAUCCUCGAGUACAGCAGCCUGCACAUGGCAGUGGAACAAGGUGACUUGAACACUGUGAUGGGAUUGCUGAAGAGGAAUCCCAAUGACGUGAGAGCUAAGAUAACAGUGAUUGGACAAACAGCACUGCAUGUAGCUGUUUUGGCUGAAAGAGAAAAGAUUGUAGAAGAACUGGUGAAGUUUAUGUCAAAAGAAGAUUUGGAAAUGAAAACCAACUUUGGUAACGCAGCCUUUGCUCUUGCUGCCCUGAAUGGAAUGAUAGAUAUGGCUAAGGUCAUGCUGAAAAAGAAUCAAGAUUUGGUUACCAUAAAAAAUGAUUACAAUGGCCAAAUUCCACUUGUCACAGCUUCUUUAUAUGGUCAACAGGAAAUGAUACGCUAUCUUUCUGAGCAUACUCCCAUCCAUUUUCUUCAACCUCGAACUAAUGACAAGAAUGGCGCCACACAACUUAAUUGCCUUAUAACAAAUGAGAUGUACGGUAUGUGUACACACUAACAUGUAGACAUGGUCACUGGUCUGAUAUUCAAAGUUUAGGUGAAUUGUGAUAAGACUAUAG
rnacentral:misc_RNA from 1 species